UUACUCUGGUCUCCCUUCAUAACGAAUAAAUUUUUCGCCUUUUACUAAAAAUUUCCGUGGAGGGAGACUCACUGAUAAGUCUGUAACUUAUUGGAUUUCUUAUACUUACUUAACUU